ACCCACCCGACCGCCGCCCACCCACCCUGCCCCGCCUGGCGCCACCCACCCCAUCUUCUCCAACUGGGGCCACCCACCCACGCCAUCUUCUCUUACCUGCGGCGAUGAUCGAACCCAACCCAUCUGCUGGUGUCGCGCAGCAGAUGCGCAGAAGUCGUUCGCGCCUCAGCUGUUGGAGGUCGCGAUGCCUCAUCAUAUACGCGUGCAGCAGUGGGUCGUGCAGCAGCAACUGAUCCAGUCAGUCAACCUCCUUUGCUCUCUUGUCUUCUAGCAUCAAAGUGCCAUCAGGAUAUCUCCUUUGGGUCCAAUCUGGGAUGAAAAAUCAUCUCAAACAUCUCAAUUUAAACACAGGCAAGAAUUCAAGGGAAAAUGUAAACAAGAGAACUGAUAGAACUGCAGAAAGACCAGUCAUUCUUUACACGGGAAAAGUUACCUCAUUUGGAAUUUAUUAGCAGAUCUUUUUUGUAAUAUUAUUUGUGUAAAAUGGCAACAUUAGUUGAUCCUAUUGAUAUCAAAAUCGAUUUUUCUGCAAGAUCGAUUUGUGUCCAUCUAAUGUUGAUACUUAACUUUAAAUUUAGAAAUAAUAUAUUCGUUAAGCAUAAUUACCAAUA